GCCAGGGUGGUGCAGUGGUUAAGGUGUUGGACCAGGAACUGGGAGGUCAGGGUUCAAAUCCCUGCUCAGCCA